UGCCGGCGAGUGGCGAACGGGUGAGUAAUAUAUCGGAACGUACCUUCAGGUGGGGAUAACGUGCGAAAGUUCGCUAAUACCGCAUAUUCUGUGAGCAGGAAAGCAGGGGAUUCGCAAGACCUUGCGCUGAUUGAGCGGCCGAUAUCAGAUUAGCUAGUUGGUGAGGUAAAGGCUCACCAAGGCGACGAUCUGUAGCGGGUCUGAGAGGAUGAUCCGCCACACUGGAACUGAGACACGGUCCAGACUCCUACGGGAGGCAGCAGUGGGGAAUUUUGGACAAUGGGCGCAAGCCUGAUCCAGCCAUGCCGCGUGAGUGAAGAAGGCCUUCGGGUUGUAAAGCUCUUUCGGCCGGGAAGAAAUCGCACGGGUUAAUACCCUGUGUGGAUGACGGUACCGGAAUAAGAAGCACCGGCUAACUACGUG
rnacentral:rRNA from 1 species